AUGCCAUGGUGUGGGCAUUUCCUUAACAGCUCUUUAAACCUUUCCCACGCGUUAGGAACAACUUCAUCAUCCAGUUGUUUAAAAAGACAGAUCUCGUUUCUGGAUUU